rnacentral:rRNA from 1 species
UAACGCGUGGGUAACCUGCCUCAUACAGGGGGAUAACAGUCGGAAACGGCUGCUAAUACCGCAUAAAGCAUCAAAUUCGCAUGUUUUUGAUGCCAAAGGAGCAAUCCGCUUUUAGAUGAGCUCGCGUCUGAUUAGCUGGUUGGCGGGGUAACGGCCCACCAAGGCGACGAUCAGUAGCCGGACUGAGAGGAUGAACGGCCACACUGGAACUGAGACACGGUCCAG